rnacentral:rRNA from 1 species
CCCUUAGAUGUUCUGGGCUGCACGCGCGCGACAAUGACGUUUGCAACGAGAUACGAGACCGAAAGGUUAAGUUGAUCUAGCAAGCUGCGUCGUGAUAGGGACUGUCGAUUGCAAUUAUUCGACACGAACGAGGAAUUCCUUGUAAUCGCGGUUUAUCGGCCCGCGUUGAAUGCGUCCCUGCCCUUUGUACACACCGCCCGUCGCUCCUACCGAUGAAUCGUUCGGUGAAGUUCAUGGAGGGGCGGUUGUUUCAGCUGCCGUCGAAGUGAAAUGGACCUGACGAUUUAGAGGAAGGAGAAGUCGUAACA